rnacentral:rRNA from 1 species
GACGAACGCUGGCGGCGGGCUUAACACAUGCAAGUCGAACGGAAAGGCCCUGCUUUUGUGGUGUGCUCGAGUGGCGAACGGGUGAGUAACACGUGAGUAACCUGCCCUUGACUUUGGGAUAACUUCAGGAAACUGGGGCUAAUACCGGAUAGGAGCUCCUGCUGGAUGGUGGGGGUUGGAAAGUUUCGGCGGUUGGGGAUGGACGCGCGGCUUAUCAGCUUGUUGGUGGGGUAGUGGCUUACCAAGGCAUUGACGGGUAGCCGGCCUGAGAGGGUGACCGGCCACAUUGGGACUGAGAUACGGCCCAGACUCCUACGGGAGGCAGCAGUGGGGAAUAUUGCACAAUGGGCGGAAGCCUGAUGCAGAAACGCCGCGUGCGGGAUGACGGCCUUCGGGUUGUAAACCGCUUUCGCCUGUGACGAAGCGUGAGUGACGGUAAUGGGUAAAGAAGCACCGGCUAACUACGUG